ensembl:lncRNA
UAAGUAUACUUUAUCGAGUUUUAACUAGUAAUACAUAUAUUUUUAAUAAUAUUCUUGUUAUUGUAUCAUAUAAAAACAAGUACUUAUAUACGAAAGAUGCCAUUGUUAGUGAUGGUGGUACUGGUGGUGCAGGUGAUGGUGAUGUUGAUAAUGUUGGUAUCGAUACUGACAUUAAUACAACAAACAUAUAUGAUAGCAUUUCAUUAAAAAGAUAUAGUCUUGGUAGUUUGAAUAUUUGCAAUAAAUUAAAAAAUAUAAUGGUAAAUGAUCGUAUUAAAACCAUAUAUGAUAAUAUUUUUAGUAUUGAUAAAAAAAAUAAAAAAAUUGAACUAAGUAAUAAACGUUUUGUUUACUAUGAUUAUUUAUUUAUAUGUUUUGAUAAAGAAGACAUUACUACAUAUAAUUUCCAAUUAAAUAGUUACCAAGCAGGAAAAAAAAAAAACUUUAACUUUAUAGAACAAUAUAAAAAUGAAGACUACCAAAAUGAAAAACUUUAUUUUUUAGCUAAAGCCAAAGACUAUGAAAAAUAUGAAAAGCUUGAAUGUUUACAUUUUGAUAGAAGAGAGGAAGAAAAAAGAAAAAAAAGAAAAAAAAAUGAAGCAAAAAAUGAAGCAAAAAAUGAAGCAAAAAAUGAAGCAAAAAAUAAGGCAAUAGAUGAGGCAACAGAUGAGGCAACAGAUGAGACAAAAAAUAGAGAAAAAGCAAGAAAAAAAGAACGAACUGUUUAUAAAAAAAAUAUACAUGGAAAAAAAGAAGAUGACGAAUACACACAAUCUAGCUCAGACUCAAAUGAUGUAAAUACGAUUGGAAACAAAAUAAAAACAAAUGAACAAAAUAAAUUAAAUAACAAGAACAAAAUGAAACAAUUAAAUAAAUACGAGAGCCAUAAUAAAUGGGUAAAGUCUAAAAAUGUAAAUAAUAAAGAUGAGAUAACUCAAGAGAAUGUAGGAGAUAGUGAUGAACAAAGUGAUAGUUAUAGUUAUUCUACGUUGUCUUCUAGUUGUUUACGGACCAGCGAUGAAAGUGAUGGUGAAGAAAAAAAGGAAAAAGAAAAAAGAGGAGUAACAGAUGAGGGUUAUGUAGAUAAACAUAUGAACAAUAUUAAUGUUAAUGAAAAUAUAGAAAGUAGUAAUAACAUAAGCGAAAAAUCAGACGAAAGCGAUACUGAUUCGGAUGAUAAUAAUACUGUGAAAACUGAAAAAGUCAAAAAAAAUGAGCACACAUUUGAACCACAGUGUUAUAAUAAACAAAUAAAAAAAGAAAUAAGAAAAGGAAUAAAUGACACAGUACCACAAACAAAAGUACAUAUAUCGGACCUAGAAGAAAUAAAUGAAAAAAAACAGGAAAAAAAUAAUAAAAAGAAAAAACAUGUAACCCAAGAUGGGACAGAUAAUGAUGGUGGAAGUAAUGACCAUAGUAGUGAAGAACAAGUAACUAAGGAAGACUCAAAUGAACCAACGAAAAUAUACACAUCGUCAAAAAUGUAUGAAAAUAAAAAUAGUUUCGAUAAGAAUUUAAGUCGAAACGUUGACGGAGUGUUUAGCAUUAGUGAUCCAUUUCUUGAAAUUUGUUUUCAUAAAAAUAGUAAAUAUAUGAAAAUAAUAAAACAAUCUAUUAGUUAUAUAGUUUUAUAUAGUAACAACUUAGACAUUUUUAAUAUGGUGACUUUUUUUUUAGAAAAUAAUAUUGAUGCAUAUAAAUUGAUUAUUAUUUACCCACAUAUAUGUAAUAAAUGUUAUGAAAAAAAUACAAUAGAAAAUAUAAAAAAUCAGAUAUUUAAUCAAAAAAAAUAUUACCAACAUAAUAAACAUCUAAUGAAAAAUUAUUUAUUUUCAUGUGAUAGUCAUAAAAAUAAUUUUUAUCAUAAAAAUUAUGUUUUUAAUAAUAUUAAAUACGCUUUGAAUAAAGUCUUUUAUUUAUUUACUUUUUUAAAAAUACGUAUUAUAUAUGGUCAAAUAGUAGGUUUGAAAAAAAAUAAAAAUAAUCGAUUAAAACACAUAAUUUUACGCUUAUGUAGACAUAAAAAAUUAGAUCCAUCGAUUGUACCAAAUCAAAAUUUUAUUAAUAAAAAUACUAUUUUACUCCCAUGUAGAGUCUUAUUAUCUUCGUAUAUAUUUGACAUAAACAACCAUCUUUACUACAUUCUAAAUAAAUCAUCGAUAGUUUACAAUGAACAAAUAUGCGUCAAUCACAACUUUCAGGUGGGACACUAGUACUUGUAUUCUUACAUAUACGUAUUUGCUUAUGUUUGCACACCUGGCUAUGUACACACUAUCUUUUUUUUUUUUUUUUUUUUUUU